AUGAACGCUGGCGGCGUGCCUAAUACAUGCUAGUCGAGCGAACAGACGAGGAGCUUGCUCCUCUGACGUUAGCGGCGGACGGGUGAGUAACACGUGGAUAACCUACCUAUAAGACUGGGAUAACUUCGGGAAACCGGAGCUAAUACCGGAUAAUAUAUUGAACCGCAUGGUUCAAUAGUGAAAGACGGUUUUGCUGUCACUUAUAGAUGGAUCCGCGCCGCAUUAGCUAGUUGGUAAGGUAACGGCUUACCAAGGCGACGAUGCGUAGCCGACCUGAGAGGGUGAUCGGCCACACUGGAACUGAGACACGGUCCAGACUCCUACGGGAGGCAGCAGUAGGGAAUCUUCCGCAAUGGGCGAAAGCCUGACGGAGCAACGCCGCGUGAGUGAUGAAGGUCUUCGGAUCGUAAAACUCUGUUAUUAGGGAAGAACAAAUGUGUAAGUAACUAUGCACGUCUUGACGGUACCUAAUCAGAAAGCCACGGCUAACUACGUG
rnacentral:rRNA from 1 species